rnacentral:lncRNA from 1 species
GAUAGUGGCAGUGAAUCUGAAGAUUAUACUAAAAUGAAGGAUUUGAGAUCUAAGAUCAGGAAAACUGGACCAGACGGCAAUAGAAAGUUGCUUUCCCAUACAUCAAUACCCAAGACGUCGCAACAUGCUGGAGCUAAUGUUCGCAACAUAAUUCGCCACAAACCAACUCUAAGCCGGACAUUUGUCUCACCAGCAAGCAAUAUCGUGAGAGGAAUUAAAUCCGGAGCUGGGACAGCUCAGACUGGACAAUUAUCACGAGAUAGAAGUUUCAGCAAUAGCAACAUAAGUACUCAAGGG